rnacentral:rRNA from 1 species
AGUAAUGUAUGGGGAUCUGCCCGAUAGAGGGGGAUAACUACUGGAAACGGUGGCUAAUACCGCAUAAUGUCUACGGACCAAAGCAGGGGCUCUUCGGACCUUGCACUAUCGGAUGAACCCAUAUGGGAUUAGCUAGUAGGUGGGGUAAAGGCUCACCUAGGCGACGAUCUCUAGCUGGUCUGAGAGGAUGAUCAGCCACACCGGGACUGAGACACGGCCCAG